CUAAAAACUAGGGAGAGUAUCGCAGGAGUGAAGGGGCCGAUUUACUCUUCAAGGCAUCGUUUUACUCUCGCAAAAUGCCGGGGAGAGUGAAACGCAUUGUUCACUCUAUCCGCAUCGAGAGAGUGAAAUGUUAUAUCUACUCUGCCGAUCUGAGAGAGAGUGGAAUGCCUGUUCCACUCUCGCGGCAACAGAGAGCAAAACGUUGCAUAUACUGCUGCUUAAACUGCAUGAGGCUGGUCGGGAACAUGGCGAUGUAUCGCUCACACAGGCAGAGCAAAGAGCGCAUCGUUUUUCUUGUAAGAGAAGAGGCAGCCAGCGCGCAAACUGGUUUGGAGAUCAGCGCACUACUUUUUGUUUCGGAGUCGCCCCACAGCGCGCCCGCACAACAUCGCGGAGCAGCACAGCGCCGGAGAAAGGCGAUCCGUUCAGCGGGCAGGCCCGGGCAGGCGGCGGGCGCGAAGGCCAUCCAAGAAAACUCUUGUGUCAGCCACGUUUCACUGCCGCGAGAAGAGGACAGUUGUUCGUUGUUCGUUUAAUUGAACAACAAAUACUCCACGGCACCCGCUUUAUAAAACUCAAGAAGGCAGCUGCAAGGAGAAAAUCUUGUCAAGGAGCCAGCUCAGCACGACUCCACAUGGUGCAGAGGAGCGCACUCCAAAGCAUCAAAAUGUGUUGCCAUGCAAUUUGGAUGAGAAAACUAAAAUGUGGGUAUACUGGGUGUACCAUGUAACUAAAUGGCAUGAAAACUUUCAAAAGACAGUACGUCACACAAAGAUGAAAGUUUCAAAUGUUUUUUACAUGCGCAUGUGACUUUGUCAGAUUGCUUUCGCAUCUGCAUUCGGCAGACCAUAAGGUAUUUUAACAAGUGCCGCAAUGAACACCAAUUAGUUAUUAGGGCAGCAAUGUACUCGCAUUUGACACUGCACUAAUGUAGCAGGAGAUGGUGCAUACGCUUUAGCCUGCAUCACGACCAAGUAGCACACGGAAUUAUGGAAGCAUUCAGCAGAAAAAAAAUCGCAAUGCAAGAUGUACCAUCCAGCCUCCAUUGUCAUCAUUGAUACCAAAAUGGCACUGCUAGAAUGAAGAUAAAUGUGUGAAGUGGUGUUCUUUGGUGGUGUGGCCUUUUUCUUUUCUUUGCUUCCUUGCAUUGCUCCUUUGUGUUUGGUUACGAACAUGUGCCAUGUAUUAGCAAUGAAACGGAAAAGAUUGAUUUACAAGCAAAAAUCCCCACUUCUCUGAUCAGAUCAUUAGAAUAUGCAUCUGUACGAAAUGAACAAACUAUCACGUGAUGUCUUAUGAGAAAGAAAAUUAUACAAUAGGCAACAAAAGUACCACAACAGUUGUGAAAUGCGUCAGUGCGCUGUGGCAAUAGCUGUCUACGAAAUACAGUGCGUGGGAAAGCGCGAUGGCACGAUCCCGAGAGCUCCAGGAAAUUACUUGCAUGAGGACGCCAAGAGUGAAGUCAAGCUUUCUGCCAAAAGACUAUCAGCUUUCGAUCCAACCCAAUCGGAGCAAUGAUACGCCACUGUAGUGCCUUGACACCGAGCGGAGAGAGUGUUGGACAACCACGGCAAGAUGCGCGUUUAGAAAAAAGGGGGUGCAGCCCAUGCAUGAAUAACUAUGUGAAAUAUUAUAACCAAAACUAGACGGUGCGGCUUUACACGAAAAUAUACAACACAUUUCUAAAUAUACUGUAUACUCUCAGUCAGGAGCAUCCAUACGCUUCAUAGGAUGUUAUCAAACGAGCUGCUGUCUUGAAAGUAAUUUGCGCAUGAAAAAACUUUUCCUGCGCAAAUUACAUUACCAGCCUCAUGCUUACCAGCUUAUCUGAUAACGUACGGUAUAUAAGUACACGAGUUUAGUGCUUGAAAUGCGUUUUCUGACCAGUAAUGUGGUGCAUAUUUCUCUUCAAUUGUAGUGCCAAUACUUCGCGAGUUUGCGCAUGUUUGUUAUUUGUUUGAUUUUACAUUGUAUACUUUCAUUUUUUUAAAUGUUGCCAAUUGAACAUAAAAAAUAUUUCUCACUGCAUUAGCGAUGAAAUGUUAAAGAAAAUGUUUAUGUAUUAUUGCAAGAUGUGUCGUAAAGUUCAUGAAAAUCCGUGUAAUCGGAUUUUAAGUGUAUCUGUAUGUUUUUCGAAAUUUGACUCAGUUUGCCUUGUGA